UACGUAGGUCCCGAGCGUUGUCCGGAUUUAUUGGGCGUAACGCGAGCGUAGGUGGUUUAUUAAGUCUGGUGUAAAAGGCAGUGGCUCAACCAUUGUAUGCAUUGGAAACUGGUAGACUUGAGUGCAGGAGAGGAGAGUGGAAUUCCAUGUGUAGCGGUGAAAUGCGUAGAUAUAUGGAGGAACACCGGUGGCGAAAGCGGCUCUCUGGCCUGUAACUGACACUGAGGCUCGAAAGCGUGGGGAGCAAACAGG
rnacentral:rRNA from 1 species